rnacentral:sRNA from 1 species
AAGAAAGAAGGAAGACAAAGAAAGAAAGGAAAUAAACCUGAAAAUUACAUCAAGGGAAAAUGAUGCAUGAAGUUAUUGAAUGCUUAGUGUUACAGAUGCUGUUCCCAUGGAGAUCAUUCCCAGCAACGGCACAGUCUCACCCAAGAAACGGACUCUGACUUGAGUCCUUAUCUUACUUUUGUUCAUGAGAAGAAUUUGAAUGGCAUGUGCCAACAGAUGUGGUUUGAAGCAGCCAGAAGACACACCAAACAAAUUCAACUUCUUCCAGGUCUACGACGAGCACUGGCCUUUUGCCUCAGGACUCUUGUGCUUUCCCCUCUGCCUGAGAAAUUGCUGAUGGGGCUGUGAGAUAACCAGAACUUCAAGACUCAGCUAGGAUUUUGCACAUCCUUUGUUGGGGCAUUCUUCCAAUCUGCUUGCCACAAUGGAUACUGUUUAAGAGGAACUUAUCCUAGAGAAACUGAUAUAGAAGACUAUCAAGUCUAAGCAGAGACCCCCAUGCUUGCUUUUCCCUCUGCAAGGGGUUUGUGGUUCUGCAUAGAUGUACAAACUCCUAUGCAAAAAAAGACCUCUUUCAAGAAGGCUCCACCUAUGGUGAUCAAAGAAAUAAAGGCAAUUUAUGUUUCCAUUUUCAAGUCUUCUAAGUAACACAUAUGAAGUGUCGCAGGCUGGAAGGAAGCCAUGACCUCUCUCACCUCUUAAGUGUCUUCGGUGCCUCAAGAAACUCUUAGGGUUACUACAUUACUCCUAGAAUUUCUUCAGAAAGUGAAUGUUAUGUACACACAGAUGUUCUCACUUCUAGUACAAGCCUGGGUCUCUUUUCACACAGCUUGCCAAUAUGCUGGAUCUUUUCCACCAAAAUAACCCACACUGAAUAAAGCAAAAUUGUAGAUCCAGAGGCAGGACACUUCUGUCAGCACCCUGCACAGAAAAGUGUCCUUACCUAGUUCUGGAGUUGCGCUGUAAUACACAAAGGAACUGGAUAUUGGGUCUUCAGCAACCCACUCAUGUGUUGCGGAUGGAUGGAACCUGGGGCUCCAUACCACUAAAAUGAACUCUUGCAAGUAGGUCCAUACUAUUGGGGGAAAAAUCCUGCUGGAAGAUAAUGCAUCUGUACCCGUGAAACUGAGACUAUAUGCUGAUGAGAACUUGAGCUGCUCUGUCGGAACAUGGUCCAACAAUGGCGUUGUGGUAGGACAAUUCCGAGUGCUUGUGAGAAAACUCCAAGAAACCAAGACAAAAGUCUUGCCACCUGUUACUUCCAAAACAUGGAAUUGUUCUUGGAUUAUGCUUUCAUGGCCCUCUAAGCCCCAUCUACAGAGAUUUACCACCUGUGAUCAUCACAUAGAAAGAGAAUCCUUAAGACUCUUUGCUACUCAUGAUCUUGAGAAACAGGAAGAUUCUACUAAAAAUACCCUGAGGUGCUGGAGCACAAGCCUGGGAAACAUAAGAAAGUUUGGGUAUCAGCAAGGAGACACCAGUGUGUAAAGGCAUCACCACAUGAAUGGAGCUACAAGAGAUGGCAAAUUCCAGUACGUUUCAGGAAGGAGCUGAGUCAAUGUUUCAUGUGCAGUUACACAUACAGGCUGACUUUUCACAUCCAGAAAUGAUCUAAAUAUGCUUCGUGGGAUUCAAAAUCAGCAUCAGCUCCUCUUAGCAAAAAUCGCUUUCAUCUCUCCAAGAGCUGCUUCUGUGGAAUGUGUGGUCAUUCUUUGCUAGAAGGCAUUUGGGGAAGCCACAUCAGCCUAAAUUCUCAUGAGAAUUCCUCUUGCCUGUCAGAUACUUUAUCUUCAAAGAAUGGCACUUGACUGUUACGGGAUCCCUCCAUCCUCCAUGACAAAAUGAGAAAGUAUACAUUGGUGUUUCAACUGCUUCAGUUAUUGAGGUGACAUUUUGUACCAUGUGAUGGGAUAGGAAUGUCAUCAUGUUUCAUCUGUAUUUGUGAAAUAAAAUGUGCAACCCUCAUUUUCACUGAAAAGACAGCAGCCCAAAUUUCUGCCCUCUCACUCAAAGAGGGAAAACAUUCUGACUUAAAUUUCUUGAGGGGAUGGUGACUGAACAUUUUAAAGAUGGAUAUUGUUAUGGUUGUUGGAUGGAUUUGUUUAUAGUUUAGCAACAUUUGAUCUCUAUCUCCAGGAGAUGGUGGUAGCCAUUAACCAGAUAGUUUUCCUACUAGGUCAUUAUAAAACAGAUCAGAUUAGAGACUUGUACUCUAUACAUUAUUGGUCAAAUUCCUCUCAUUUCCAAACAUAGCCAAAACAUAAGAACAGCAAUUAUCAAGGUGUUCUAGGGAGACAAUUUUCCCAUAGGUACCUUAAACCAUCACUAGAACAAAGGGCAAAAAGUAAAGUUAAGCACCUAAGACUUAUUGCCACUAAGAACUUACUUUCCCUUCUGUUGAUGUACCAGGCAUUGCACUGAGUAUUUUACCCAUUCAUUUAUUUAGAUUUGGUUAUCUAUUCUGUGAGCAUGGGUAUUUUUGCUUACAUAUAUUUUGUGUACCACAUGCAUGCCUGGUGUUCACGGAAAGCAGAAAGGACAUGGAAUUUACUGAAACUGGAGUUAUAAGUGGUUGGAAGCCACCCAUGUAGGUACAAGGAACCAGGUCACCUAUUUAAGUGUGAGAGCAGUCAUGCUCAACUGCUGACCCAUCUCUCUAGCCACCCGUUCUUUCCCUUUAAACUGAUAACUCAGAACUAAGAAUUUCUGAGAGGCAAUUAAUUUCUGCAGAGGUAAACUUACAGGUCUCCAGCAUUUAAAAGCAGAUGAGUCCUGCAAUCUAAGAAGUGUUUAUUGAAAUGCCUUACAAAGAACAAUGGGGAAUGGCAUUUAACUAGCACAGACUACAGCAUAGGCUUUUUACAGAGAUAGUGUCUUGAUGUCUAGAGUCACUUAGAAAAUAGAUCUUCAUGUUCCACGGGUGAGAAACAGGAGGAUAAAGAGAUUAAAUCAACCAACACCACAAAUGAAAUCAAUAGCAAUGAUGAGAUUUAAACCCUUGAGCCUAACUCCAAACCCUAAUACAAUCUGCCUCAGAAGGCUGCCUAUCAGUUGUAUGAAACUGUGGACCCUGUACAAUGAAUGGCCUCUGUUUCUCAUGGCUCAUGUUCUGUGUUGUAUCUCAAUGUGUACAGACAUGACUAAUAUAAGACUGAAGACAGAACUACUUCAAAUGUGUUCUUAAAAUGUGUAUUUGAGUCCUUUGGGGAGCAAUACUUCUUUUAGUUUCUUCAAUUUGUAGAGGACCGUUGUCAUCUUAUUCCUGGCCCCUAUAGUUUAUUGUACCAGACUGCUAAGCCUGGAAAAAAGAACUGGGCAUGUGCAGAUCAUCCCAGGAGUCCUUUUCCCAUUGGAAGAUAUCGUGAUCAGGAAGAGCCUGUGUGUUUUAUGCUGCACCCCGAUUCUAUGGUUCUUAGCCACCACUGUCUCUGCACGUAACAGAAGUAUGAAUAGAAGUCCAAUUUUCAAGUUCAGAGUAUGAAUGCUCACUUGAUCGCAAGCAGCAUCCCCACAUUUUUAUAUCAGUUCUAUCAACAACAAAAGUGAUACUUCAACUUUAUUUCUGUCUGGCUUUCUCCUUUACCUUCUGUCUGUUGAUUUGAGUUAUAGAGAAAGGUACUAAUUAUUGAAUUCUUUCUAUCGCAGUAGCAACCAUAUGUGUCACAGAAGCCAGAGCAAAUGAAGUUCAAUGUUAAAAGAAAACUUGUUGCAAAUUGGGAGUUCUGAGUUAGAACUUGAAAAACGUGUUGCUAUCAGAAAGAGAUGCCUUCUUAUGCACUAUAUACCAUGAGUCAAAACCCUGUCCCCAGCAGGCCCCAAAUUACCCAUGAUAUGAGGAAUGGCUGAUGAGAACUGGAAUAAAACACAUCCCCAUCUAUUGAAGGUACGUCCAGGUGAAUGUCCACUCAUCGUCAGGGAGCCAGGUUCCUGUAGCAUCUAAAAAAGGGAGACAACGAGUAUUUGCUUUGGGAAACAGGACUGAUUUUCUCUUCUGCAGCAUAUCAGCUUCCUGAACUUACUGACCUGUAACCAUCUACACAUUUGUCCUUCCAUUCCCUCUAACACCUUUGUCAGCAGUUCCCUGUGACAAACUGUUUCUCUUAAAGUACCUAGAAAGCAAUUGUUUUCCUAAGACAGAACUGCCUUCAUAGAAUUCUAAGAAGAUGGAAUCAUUUUCAGUCAUAUCCUGGAAGUAAAUCUCUGGAAGGUGUCUGUCUGUCUUUG